AUCGAUCACCACAAACACCACCAACCCACACCAAAAUCUACUACGUACUUCAUAUAUAUAUUCAUUGCCAUUUGCCAAAGGAUUCAUAUUCUUUCAUUUAUGUCACCACAGGCACGUGACAGCUAUUCCUUGUGAGAUUUGUGAUUUUCCAUUUUGUAUUAGCUAACUGUUUUCAAUUAUGGUUUUGAACACAAAAUGGUUUAUUUCUCGUCCUCUCCAGGUAUUUGGGUGGUAUCUGGGGAAGUCAACAACAGGAGUAAGAGUUUCUGGAUGGAUGAUUGACCUAGCUAACAGAAAACAAAGUCCCAUGUUGAUGAUGAUGCUCAUGAGUCUUUGCUGAGAUUCAGAGAGCCAAAAUCCUUGGGAAAUUGCAUGUGGAAUGCGCAAGACAUGCCCCUAACAGAGGUGAAGAGCCUUACCUGCUUCAAUAUUCAUAUUGUUUAUUUCCUCUGUUGCCCUGUUGGCCUCAUUGUCUGCACCUUAAGGCACGCAAUGUUCUCCAAUGGUGUCUAGCUAUUUGAAUUGAAUAACAUUUGAUGACGAACAAGUUGAAGACAAUGUUUUGUGUCCAAGAGGGUUUGAUUUCCUGGCCAGUUUCAGAGAGUAGUUGAGGGUUUUCAUGGAGAACAAUCCCUUGAAACAAGGGAGCCUGUGAGUAGACAAAAGUAAUGGCGAAGCAAGCUCGUAAGAUUGAUCUGUAAUUUUGUGACCAAUACACAGCAGAUGGAGUUUGAUUACAAAUUUAUUUCUGAUCGAAUUCAAAGGCACAGAAUUGAAGUGUGUUAUGAGCGGAAGGUUCAUCAUCCAUGAAUACUUGAAGAGUGCAUGCAGGCCCAUAAAUGGAAAGGCUACGAACAAUAUUGCCACAGACCAUAAGGCCUAUGGAGAAAAUGUUGGUGUAGAAUUGGCAAAGACGUUCAAAGGUGGUAAGUUGUAAUCUUAAGGCCUCUUUCCCUAAAACUAUGUGGGAAACCCUAGCGGCCUUCGUAUCUAUAAACCCUUUUAGGUUUUGGCGGUAUGUCAUCCAAUUACGCUCUCUCGGGUGCAUCAUGGUUCCGGUCGACACAAAGGGGGCGUGUGAUUAUCUUCAACUACAACCAUUGCCACAAGAAAAGGUCAAAAUGUGUUUCAAAUUGAAGUUCCAAUGUCGAAUUUGGAAGUUCAAGUAGAACCUUUAGGGCAAAUCCUAUUUUUUGUUUUACAAAUCCUAAAACAGUCGUAGAAUGCGUACGGUGAUAGUAUUCCUAAUGGUUCGGUGAUAAACUACCACAACCAUAGUUCAUGAUAGCUUCAUGUAACAUGUCAAAACUUAAGCACAUGUAGGUGUUUUAUUUACCAUGGAAAAUGAGGUCAAAAUAAAUUAUAAUUAGUUCCAAGCCCAGCUGAACUCAAGUGGGCCUAAUAUGGACAACACCCAGCUGAAAAACAUGAACUCAAGUUGGGCCUAAU
rnacentral:lncRNA from 1 species